UGGAAUGAAAGGCCAGGACCCAAAACCUAACAAGUGUCUGCAGACCUGCAACUAAAUUCCUCAAGAAUGUAGAGUUUUUAAAACUAUGUCAUUUUAGAAAAACCAAAUGGAGGAUGAUGGACUAGAAGCCUCCACCUAUCAUCUCCCUGACAGGAAACAUCAAGUUAACAACUAUUAUCACAGAAAAAACAAACAAACAAACAAAAAACUUCCUAAGAGCCAAAAACGAGGUGAGCCCUCAUAGUACCUACCUGAUUUUAACUAUGUAUUACUGAAAAAGACACUGAACAGUUAGAAAAAGUCUUGAAUCUCGAAUCGCCUCCAAUGGAAACACAACAUGCCAAAACCUAUGGGAUAUAGCAAAAGGUAUACUAAGAGGGAAGUUUAUAGCUCUAAGUGCCCGCAUCAAAAAAGAGAAAAAACUUCAAACAAAAUAUCUAACAAUGCAUCUUAAAGAACUAAAAUAGCAAGUGCACACCAAACCCAAAAUAGUGGAAGAAAAGAAAUUAUAAAGAUCAGAGCAGAAAUAAAUGAUUGAAAUGAAGACAAUAAUACAAAAGAUCAAUGAAACGAAAAGUAGGUUUUUUGAAAAGUUGAACAAAAUCAACAAACCUAUAGUCAGACUAAGAAAUAAGGAGAGAAGAUCCAAAUAAAUAAAA
rnacentral:lncRNA from 10 species